AGAUCAAUGUAAAGGUACUUAUUAAAUUCUGCUAGAAGGGGGUGGUCAAUGGAGUGCUUAUUGAAUAAGCCUUUUUUGACCAUCUCCACCCUCACGGAAGAGGUCCACAUUGGUCCACCAGUGCUGAAAUAGAAAAGCAGUACUCUCCAGAGCUCUCGUCGGAUAAGGACUCAUUUGGAGGCUCCAAUGAACUUUCUGCACCUUCUCCAGAGCUUUGAGGCACAGAAGAUGUUGUCGACCGAGCUGGUUCCGGGAGGACUGAAGAAACGUCCUUUGUGACAGAAUUCAGACAACUCCUUCUUGGCCUCUUUGACGACAGCCUGGAUCUCUGCUUCUGUGCUGUUCCUCAUACACACCUUCCUGAGAUGCCCAGGAAGAGAAUGAGGAGCCUUUUUGCACACAGGGCAGAGGAAAAACAUCCUGCUGUGGAAGGAUCUGUGUGGAUAAUAAAAUCAAAAUGUUAUAAAAUGAAGAGACCAAGAGCAGCUUUGGUAAGGUUUGGGGUCCACCACACCCCACCCCCAACUCCAGGUACAGAAACAAAGAAAUGAGCACACAAACACACACAGCAAUGUCUGCCGGAUAUUUUGAUUAGAGUUUUAAGACAAAACUUAAUUUCAUAUUAAUAUAAUACUGUUACUAACCAUAUUAUUUAAAAUGUAUUUAAUAAUAUGACA